UGUGAGAUCAUGACCUGAGCCAAAACCAAGAAUCGGGAGCUUAACCAACUGAGCCACCCAGGUUUGCUCUCCAAAUUUUCAGCUCAGUGUCCAUGGAUGCUAUAGUUCUAUGAGUUUGAGCUGUUAGUGUGAGUAUAUUCUUCUGAAGUAACGGAUGUGAGCUCUGAAGUUGACUUCAACAGGUGUCCAGAUGGAGUAGAGGAGAUAAAUGGAUGCCUUCACUUGUGUGCGCUUUGCCAUAUGCACAGACACCACGGACUUUGGAACAGCAUUCCUGGCACCUUUGAAACACAAGAAACAAAUCAAGUAAGGGGACAUUUGCAUCUUUGCUGACUCAGCUGACAACAACAUGAAACCAGUCCCCAAAGGCAAAUGCACAUGAAGAGUGACUCUCUAGAGAAAGUGGGAGGGAAUCAACUGGAAAGGUAUUUUUCCAAUUUUUUAUAAGACUGGGGGCCCUGAAGUAGCAUCCACAUAGAGAGAGAGAGAACAUUCAGUACUGAUGCAUGAACGCAUAACGAUAGCCACAGAAAUGUGUGCAAAAUGUACAGGUAACAGGAUAGCAUUCCACAUAUUAAUACACGGUUCCUAUGUCAAGUUAUAGAACAUUCCAGCAUCCUACAAGAUUCUCUCCUGCAGGGGCGCCUGGGCAGCUCAGUCGGUUAAGCGUCCGACUCCGGCUCAGGUUAUGAUCUCGCAGUCCAUGGGUUCGAGCCCUGAGACAGGCUCUGUGCUGACAGCUCAGAG